rnacentral:misc_RNA from 1 species
AACUUUCGGGAAUGGAUCACUUGGUUCUGGCAUCGAUGAAGAACGCAGCGAAAUGCGAUAAGUAAUGUGAAUUGCAGAAUUCAGUGAAUCAUCGAAUCUUUGAACGCACAUUGCGCCCCUUGGUAUUCCGGGGGGCAUGCCUGUUCGAGCGUCAUUUCAACCCUCACGCGUAGCGUGGUCUUGGGCUCUGCCGGCAACGGCUUGCCUUAAAAUCAGUGGCGGUGCCAUCGAGCUCUACGCGUAGUAAUAAACCCCUCGCGUGUGAGUCUCGGCGGUCGCUUGCCAGCAACCCCCAAUUUUUUAUGGUUGACCUCGAAUCAGGUAGGGAUACCCGCUGAACUUAAGCUAUCAAUAAGCGGAGGCU